rnacentral:lncRNA from 1 species
ACCACAUGGAUUCCUUCUUUUAACAAAUGAGUUUAGAAGGAGAAAACUGAAGCAAACAUAUAACUACUACAUGGAUUUUCUAUCACCCAAAUCCAACAUGGUGCUAAACUUUUAGAAGCAUAGCUUCAACUUUCACAGUACAUAAUCAGAAAAAUAAGAAGCUUAUGUAACAAAUGUAAUACAAGAUUCAUCACUAAAUAUUGAAAGAGUAGCAGAAACAGAAGAAAUAAUUUCAAGAAUAAAGGGAUUCAAGAACUAAACUAUGAACAAAUAGUUUAAUACUAGGCUUCCAACUUCUAUAUUUAUGUCAUUCUUCCAACUCGAGCUUCAUAUUAGAUAAGAUUCGGAACAUGUAACUGGGAACUAAAAGAGAAACAAAGAGGUGAAGGAUUAGCAAGGAGUAGCAGCAGAAAACCAACUUAAAGAUCAUCAAUGAAACAAUAUAAAACCAGCAGAGCAAGCUUCAGAACCCUAGCCAAUUCCAGACUUCUAAAACCCAAUUUAAACCAUUCUGUUGAACCCUUGAAACUCUAAUUUGCCAAAGGAAAUAGAACUCGAAAAACCAAGCAAAACUUCAAGUAAAUUUCAGUAUUCUUACUUAAAAGAAAAUAUUUAGCCAUUUUUAAUUUUUAUGUUUUUCAAUCUCUAAAAUCUAAAAUUUAUCUUCUGA